CCAAAAAAUCCCAAAAAAUCCAAAAAAGAAUCCAAAAUAAAUCCCAACAAAAUUUUGGGGAUUUUGGGAUGGAUUUUUGAGACGAAUUUUGGGGAUUUUGGGAUGAAUUUUGGGGAUUUUGGGCUGGAUUUUUGAGACGAAUUUUGAGGAUUUUGGGCUGGAUUUUUGGGAUGAAUUUUGGGGAUUUUGGGCUGGAUUUUUGGGAUGAAUUUUGGGGAUUUUGGGCUGGAUUUUUGGGAUAAAUUUGGGUUUUUUUGGGAUGAAUUUUUGGGAUGAAUUUUGGGGAUUUUGGGCUGGAUUUUUGAGACGAAUUUUGGGGAUUUUGGGCUGGAUUUUUGAGACGAAUUUUGGGGAUUUUGGGCUGGAUUUUUGGGAUGAAUUUUGGGGAUUUUGGGAUGGAUUUUUGGGAUGAAUUUUGGGGAUUUUGGGAUGGAUUUUUGGGAUAAAUUCGGGGUUUUUUGGGAUGGAUUUUUGGGAUGAAUUUUGGGGAUUUUGGGAUGGAUUUUUGGGAUAAAUUUGGGUUUUUUUGGGAGGGAUUUUUGGGAUGAAUUUUGGGGAUUUUGGGCUGGUUUUUUGAGACGAAUUUUGGGGAUUUUGGGCUGGAUUUUUGAGACGAAUUUUGGGGAUUUUGGGCUGGAUUAUUGGGAUGAAUUUUGGGGAUUUUGGGAUGGAUUUUUGGGAUGAAUUUUGGGGAUUUUGGGGAUGGAUUUUGGGACAGAUUUGGGUAUUUUUGGGCUAAAUUUGGGGUUUUUUGGCGGGAUUUUUGAGACGAAUUUUGGGGAUUUUGGGCUGGAUUUUUGAGACGAAUUUUGGGGAUUUUGGGCUGGAUUUUUGGGAUGAAUUUUGGGGAUUUUGGGCUGGAUUUUUGAGACGAAUUUUGGGGAUUUUGGGCUGGAUUUUUGGGAUGAAUNNNNNNNNNNNNNNNNNNNNUCCAGAGGAUCCCGAGGAUUCCUGGAGCCUCCUGGUGAGCAGCGCCCUGGAGGCGGCCGUGGUUUAUCGGCGGAUCCUCUCCCGGGGGCUUUCGGAUCCUCUGGAGCUCCCCGGGAGCCGCGGCUCCGACGCCGUCGUUUGCGCCAAAGUCACCGACGUCGAUUUCGACGGCGCCGCCGAAAUCCUGCUGGGCACCUACGGCCAGGUGAGAGCCCGGGAAUUCCCAAUU
rnacentral:lncRNA from 1 species